rnacentral:lncRNA from 1 species
UCCAUUCAAGGUGUCUUAUUUCAUUCAAAAUGUCAAUUCCAUCAUUACAAUCCAUCACAAGUGUUCAUACAUUACAAAAAUUACACAACAAUUAUGUUGACCAAAUGUUAACUUUGGUCAAUAGUUGAAUUUUUGGUCAAGUUUGACCAAAGUCAAGUCAACCACUCUUCAUCCUAAAACCCUAAAUCCCCAUCCUAUUUCUAAUCUGAUAUUCAAUGUUUGACUCUUGAUCUUUUGUUGACCAUUCCAUGAUGGAUACUUUAAAUUACAACUUGGAUGCCAUGAUUUGUUGUCCAACCAUUGUCCACUUCAUAGCAUGCUUGAUUGAUGAACAUAAACCAAGCCAGUGAAUCAAGAUCAUAAUUUGAAAUGAGAUCAGAAAUGCAACAUAAUACAAAUAAAACAUGGCAUAUUCAUCAUUAUCAAUCAUUAGCAUUCAUUCCCAAUCAUUAGCAAUCAUUAGCAUUUACUAAAUCAUUAACAAGCAUUUAACCCUAACCAAUUCAUUAACUAUUAUGUGUUCACACUAACUUUACCACGUUCAUUAGCAAGUCUAUUUAAGUUUUACCAACAUUACAGACUUAACUCCAUUCUAAACUUCCAUUCAUCAUCACCAAAUCAAAACACCAUUGGCCUAUUUGCAUCGAUACUGCUAGCAGGGCACUUCUAAUUGAACUAAGACACAAACAAUUAGCUUUUACAUUACAGUUCCAACACAUUUGAGCUAACUAACAUCAUGCAUCCUUUUCAUAAUUCCUAUCAGUAUCCAAUUAAUAUAACAACUGGCCAAUUUCUCCAACACCUAGCUAUUCCAAACUUCAGAUUAAUAAAUAAGUUAAACUAAUAUUUUUUUGCAUUAUGCACAUUUUAAUGGGUUAUUCACUAUCUGUCAUUAAAGUGAAAAAUUUUACUAACUUAUGGCUAUUAUUCACAUUCACAUUACAAAUUUCAGUAGAAUAAUAUUACCAAUAGCCAUCACACAACCACUAACAGAAAAUCGAAACUAACAUUCAUUCACUAUGGAAUCAGUACAUGACAUACCUCACAACAAUCUGUAGAAAGCAUGAGCAUUGGAAGCCAUCGAGCCAGCCAUCCCGCAUCACUAAUUAAGCAUCACACCACGCAAAUGAAAAUCUUGCAGCAAGUGUACACAACCUGCACCAAAUCAAGCAAAAUGGCAGCAUUUCACAAUUAGUAGUUCAGUAUUAUCUUACACACAUCACUAAGCCAAUUCAACACAUACAAACAGAACUCAAAAUCAUAACAAACCAUCCACACUUCCAAGGCUCAAGCAAUAUUUAGAUUUGCUUAUGAUUCACAAGGAGCACGUCCAACCUACAUAAACCAGCUCAACAUACAUAAUCCAAACAUUCGAAAAUAAUACAUCGUAAGCACAAAACCAUACACAUGCUAACAUCCAAACUCAAGCAACAUAACAGGCUUCCUUAUGCCAAGUUAGAACUAACAUAAUUCUGACACUAACAGCCUAACCUCUUUUUUAUAUCUCAUAGUCAAUUUUGAAUUUCAUAAUAAUAAUAGUUAACCAAUUUAAGUAAUAGAUUAACACUAAUGUCAACAAAUUUUCUAACAGAAUUUCAAGCAUUGACAUAAUUAACCACCUGUUAACUGAGUUUCCAAACAAAUAACCGAUUUCCCUUCACUCACCUCUAACUAACAUUUCAACCUCCUAACUGUUUCAACUAACUAACCACUUUUCAACUAAUCUUAACAAACUUCUCUAACAGAAUGGAUGGAGAGGGAUGGAGUAAUAGAAUCAUCCGAAUCAGAAGGUUAUAAAAGGAGCUCACCCUUCACCAAGUUCAGACUCUGAUUUUCUCACUAAGAAUUAGACCUUGAUUCUGCAAGUGCCUCAACGGAACCUCAAUUCUACAAGUGCCUCAACGGAACCUCGAUUCUGCAAGUGCCUCAACAGAACCUCCUUUUUGCAAGAGCCUCAACCAAACCUUUAUCCAACAAGAGUUCAACCGAAUCUUCGGUUUGCGAAGGCUUCAAUCACAAGAGAGAAGGCAUCAUUUCCACCAUUUUUCUUAGAGCUUCAGAAUCCGAAAUAGAAGCUACAUCGGGAAGGAGGAAAGGAGAAGAUACGCAAAAUGGAUCAAAGCUCGAAUGUGCCACCUGGAACCUGGAAGAUCAACAGAAGCGUAUCAAUUCGUCCUUGGUGCGAGGUAUUCGUUUUACUUCUCCAAGAAUUCACAUCGUUUAACUGGAGGGAAAACAAGCAUGCGGCGCCUCAUGUAGAGCAAACAGGAUAUGAACGCAGACCUUGAAGAGAGUGUGGAAGCGAGCGGCAGGAACAAAGUACGGCACCGUGAGGAGUCUCUUUACAGGUUUGAAUUCAUUGAAUCUUUAGCUUCAGUCACAUAGGUUAAAGAAUGAAGGGAAUGGAUCCUGGAUUGGAUUGGAAGGUUGGGCCUAAGGUCCAAAACGUUUAUGCAUUUCGCUCCCUGCACUCCCGUGUCUAGGGGUGUUCAGAUCCAAU